rnacentral:rRNA from 1 species
CAGUCGCCACGGUAAUACGAAGGGGGCUAGCGUUGUUCGGAAUCACUGGGCGUAAAGGGUGCGUAGGCGGGAUCUUAAGUCAGGGGUGAAAUCCCGAGGCUCAACCUCGGAACUGCCUUUGAUACUGGGGUCCUUGAGUCCGGAAGAGGUGAGUGGAACUGCGAGUGUAGAGGUGAAAUUCGUAGAUAUUCGCAAGAACACCGGUGGCGAAGGCGACUCUCUGGUCUGUAACUGACGCUGAGGAGCGAAAGCGUGGGGAGCGAACAGGAUUAGAUACCCGAGUAGUCCCUGUCUCUUAUAC